rnacentral:rRNA from 1 species
CAGUAGCCGCGGUAAUACGAAGGGGGCUAGCGUUGUUCGGAAUCACUGGGCGUAAAGCGCACGUAGGCGGAUACUUAAGUCAGGGGUGAAAUCCCGGGGCUCAACCUCGGAACUGCCCUUGAUACUGGGUAUCUUGAGUCCGGGAGAGGUUGGUCGAACUCCGAGUGUAGAGGUGAAAUUCGUAGAUAUUCGGAAGAACACCAGUGGCGAAGGCGGCCAACUGGCCCGGUACUGACGCUGAGGUGCGAAAGCGUGGGGAGCAAACAGGAUUAGAGACCCGCGUAGUCCCUGUCUCUUAUAC